rnacentral:rRNA from 1 species
GUGGAGCAAUCCAUGAGUACAGUGGCGCACGGGUGAGUAACACGUGAAUGAUCUACCUCCGAGUGGGGAAUAACUGAGAGAAAUCUUAGCUAAUACCGCAUAAUACCCACGGGUCAAAGCAGCAAUGCGCUUGGAGAGGAAUUCGCGGCAGAUUAGUUAGUUGGCGGGGUAAUGGCCCACCAAGACGAUGAUCUGUAUCCGGCCUGAGAGGGCGCACGGACACACUGGAACUGAAACACGGUCCAGACUCCUACGGGAGGCAGCAGUGGGGAAUUUUGCGCAAUGGGGGAAACCCUGACGCAGCAACGCCGCGUGGAGGAUGAAAUCCCUUGGGAUGUAAACUCCUUUCGAUAGGGAAGAUUAUGACGGUACCUAUAGAAGAAGCCCCGGCUAACUUCGUGCCAGCAGCCGCGGUAAUACGAGGGGGGCAAGCGUUGUUCGGAAUUAUUGGGCGUAAAGGGUGCGUAGGCGGCCUGACAAGUCUGAUGUGAAAUCUAUGGGCUCAACCCAUAGCCUGCAUCGGAAACUGUCGGGCUUGAGUAUGGGAGAGGUGAGUGGAAUUUCCGGUGUAGCGGUGAAAUGCGUAGAUAUCGGAAGGAACACCUGUGGCGAAAGCGGCUCACUGGACCAUUACUGACGCUGAGGCACGAAAGCUAGGGGAGCAAACAGGAUUAGAUACCCUGGUAGUCCUAGCCCUAAACGAUGAUUGCUUGAUGUGGCAGGUACCCAAUCCUGCCGUGUCGAAGCUAACGCGAUAAGCAAUCCGCCUGGGGAGUACGGCCGCAGGCUGAAACUCAAAGGAAUUGAC